UACAGAGACUGCAAGCGUUAUUCGGAUUCACUGGGCGUAAAGGGUGCGCAGGCGGCCAAGUGUGUGAGGCGUGAAAGCCCGAUGCUUAACAUCGGAAUUGCACCUCAAACUACAUGGCUAGAGCAUUGGAGAGGGUAGCGGAAUUCACGGUGUAGCAGUGAAAUGCGUAGAUAUCGUGAGGAACACCAGUGGCGAAGGCGACUUCCUGGCCUGUUCUUGACGCUGAGGCGCGAAAGCUAGGGGAGCAAACGGG
rnacentral:rRNA from 1 species